rnacentral:rRNA from 1 species
GGUCAAGCGAAUAAGCGCACACGGUGGAUGCCUUGGCGGUCAGAGGCGAUGAAGGACGUGGCAGCCUGCGAAAAGUAUCGGGGAGCUGGCAACAAGCUUUGAUCCGGUAAUGUCCGAAUGGGGAAACCCACCCGCUUGCGGGUAUCCUGCAGUGAAUACAUAGCUGCUGGAAGCGAACCUGGUGAACUGAAAUAUCUAAGUAACCAGAGGAAAAGAAAUCAACCGAGAUUCCGUAAGUAGCGACGAGCGAACGCGGACUAGCCCUUAAGCUGGAUUGGUUCUAGGAAAAUGCUCUGGAAAGAGCAGCCAUAGAAGGUGAUAGCCCUGUAUCUGAAAGGGCCAUUCCAGUGAAGACGAGUAGGGCGGGGCACGUGAAACCCUGUCUGAACAUGGGGGGACCAUCCUCCAAGGCUAAAUACUACUGACCGACCGAUAGUGAACCAGUACCGUGAGGGAAAGGCGAAAAGAACCCCGGAGAGGGGAGUGAAAUAGAACCUGAAACCGUGUGCGUACAAGCAGUAGGAGCUCCGCAAGGAGUGACUGCGUACCUUUUGUAUAAUGGGUCAGCGACUUACUGUUCGUGGCAAGCUUAACCGUAUAGGGGAGGCGAAGGGAAACCGAGUCUGAUAAGGGCGCAUAGUCGCGGGCAGUAGACCCGAAACCGGGUGAUCUAGUCAUGCCCAGGGUGAAGGUGCGGUAACACGCACUGGAGGCCCGAACCCACUCCCGUUGCAAAGGUAGGGGAUGAGGUGUGAUUAGGAGUGAAAAGCUAAUCGAACCCGGAGAUAGCUGGUUCUCCUCGAAAGCUAUUUAGGUAGCGCCUCAUAUGUAUCCUCUCGGGGGUAGAGCACUGUUAUGGCUAGGGGGUCAUCGCGACUUACCAAACCAUUGCAAACUCCGAAUACCGAGACGGACUGUAUGGGAGACACACGGCGGGUGCUAACGUCCGUCGUGAAAAGGGAAACAACCCAGACCCACAGCUAAGGUCCCAAAUUUUGUGCUAAGUGGAAAACCAUGUGGAAAGGCACAGACAGCCAGGAGGUUGGCUUAGAAGCAGCCACCCUUUAAAGAAAGCGUAAUAGCUCACUGGUCGAGUCGGUCUGCGGGGAAGAUUUAACGGGGCUAAGCACAGAACCGAAGCUUGGGGUGCAUAACUUUGUUAUGCGCGGUAGAGGAGCGUUCCGUAAGCCGUUGAAGGUGGAUUGAGAAGUCUGCUGGAGGUAUCGGAAGUGCGAAUGCUGACAUGAGUAACGAUAAUGCGGGUGAAAAACCCGCACGCCGAAAGCCCAAGGUUUCCUUGCGCAACGUUAAUCGGCGCAGGGUGAGUCGGCCCCUAAGGCGAGGACGAAAGUCGUAGUCGAUGGGAAGCAGGUUAAUAUUCCUGCACCUCGCGUAAGUGCGAUGGAGGGACGGAGAAGGUUAGGUGUACCAGGCGUUGGUUGUCCUGGGGAAAGGCGGUAGGUUUGGAUCUUUGGCAAAUCCGGGAUCCUUUAAGACCGAGCACCGAGACGAGCCUUUAUGGCAAAGUCACUGAUACCACGCUUCCAGGAAAAGCUCCUAAGCUUCAGCUUACGCAGACCGUACCGUAAACCGACACAGGUGGGUAGGAUGAGAAUUCUCAGGCGCUUGAGAGAACUCGGGUGAAGGAACUAGGCAACAUGGCACCGUAACUUCGGGAGAAGGUGCACCCUUUUUGGUGGCUCGUGCGAGCUAUAGCUGAAGAGGGUCGCAGUAACCAGGCCGCUGCGACUGUUUAUCAAAAACACAGCACUCUGCAAACACGAAAGUGGACGUAUAGGGUGUGACGCCUGCCCGGUGCUGGAAGGUUAAUUGAUGGGGUCAGCCGCAAGGCGAAGCUCUUGAUCGAAGCCCCAGUAAACGGCGGCCGUAACUAUAACGGUCCUAAGGUAGCGAAAUUCCUUGUCGGGUAAGUUCCGACCUGCACGAAUGGCGUAACGACAGCGGCGCUGUCUCCACCCGAGACUCAGUGAAAUUGAAAUCGCUGUGAAGAUGCAGCGUUCCCGUGGCAAGACGGAAAGACCCCGUGAACCUUUACUAUAGCUUUACACUGAACGUUGAGUUCGUCUGUGUAGGAUAGGUGGGAGGCUAUGAAACCAUGGCGCUAGCUGUGGCGGAGCCAUCCUUGAAAUACCACCCUGUCGUGCUUGACGUUCUAACCUGGGCCCAUUAUCUGGGUCGGGGACCGUGUAUGGUGGGUAGUUUGACUGGGGCGGUCUCCUCCUAAAGAGUAACGGAGGAGCUCGAAGGUACGCUCAGCGCGGUCGGACAUCGCGCACUGUGUGCAAAGGCAUAAGCGUGCUUGACUGCAAGAUCGACGGAUCAAGCAGGUAGGAAACUAGGACUUAGUGAUCCGGUGGUUCUGUAUGGAAGGGCCAUCGCUCAACGGAUAAAAGGUACUCCGGGGAUAACAGGCUGAUACCGCCCAAGAGUUCAUAUCGACGGCGGUGUUUGGCACCUCGAUGUCGGCUCAUCACAUCCUGGGGCUGUAGUCGGUCCCAAGGGUAUGGCUGUUCGCCAUUUAAAGUGGUACGCGAGCUGGGUUCAGAACGUCGUGAGACAGUUCGGUCCCUAUCUGCCAUGGGCGUUGGAGAUUUGAGAGGGGCUGCUCCUAGUACGAGAGGACCGGAGUGGACGAACCUCUGGUGUUCCGGUUGUCACGCCAGUGGCAUUGCCGGGUAGCUAUGUUCGGAAGCGAUAACCGCUGAAAGCAUCUAAGCGGGAAGCGCGCCUCAAGAUGAGAUCUCCCGGGGCACAAGCCCCCUGAAGGAACCAUGUAGACUACGUGGUUGAUAGGUCAGGUGUGUAAGUACAGCAAUGUAUUGAGCUAACUGAUACUAAUGAUCCGUGCGGCUUGACCAU